AAAACAGUCAUAAAACUAGUACUUCUGACAUCUUCAUCAGUCAUGUCAGUGUGGUUCUCCUCAGAUUAGAUUGAGCUUUUUUUUUCAUCACAUGUUCCAGGUUCUGUUGGUGAUUUAGGAGAUGGUUCAGUGGAUGAAGCAUUUGCCACAAAAGUGUGAAGCCCUCACUUGAGAUCCCAGGCUGGAGAGAUGGCUCAGAGGUUAAGAGCACUGAGUGCUCUUCCAGAGGUCCUGAGUUCAAUUCCCAGCAACCACAUGGUGGCUCACAACCAUCGGUAUGAGAUCUGGUGCCCUCUUCUGGGGUGCACAUAUACAUGGAAGCAGAAUGUUGUAUACAUAAUAAAUAAAUAAAAUCUUAAAAAAUU
rnacentral:lncRNA from 1 species